rnacentral:rRNA from 1 species
UAGCCGACCUGCGGGCGGGGAUCGCCCGCCGCAUUGCGGCUGGGGCAGGGGCCAGACGCCUACGGGAGGCAGCAGUGGGGAAUAUUGCGCAAUGGGGGAAACCCUGACGCAGCAACGCCGCGUGAGUGAUGAAGGUCUUCGGAUCGUAAAGCUCUGUCUUCAGGGACGAUAAUGACGGUACCUGAGAGAGGACCGUACGGCUA